UCAAUUGAAACCCUGUUUUGGAGUAAGCCUGUUAUGGAUGGAUCUGCUGUUCUAUUAUUAAAAGAAAUGGAUCUAUUCCGAGUGUAACAUACGUAACACUAAAAGCCCACUUGGUGGAUGCACAUGAUUUUUUUUUUUUUUAAAUCACGGAGGAGCUGGAACUAAAUUCCGGAGAAAUUCAGAGACCUGCAGGUUUUUUUUUUUAUGGCGCAUCCUCUUAGAUAUGACAUGAUUACCUUAUUUUACUGGUUUGGAAACUGAGAUGCAGUGGGCCAGCAAAUGGCCCAAGGUGGGCUAAUCCUUGCAGGAAAGAUUCCAGAGAUGUUCAUGGCUUCCUGAAGUGAAGAAUCUGGAAACUGACCCACAGAGGGGAUGCAUCUUGUCCACCACCUCACAGCUCACUGGGGUCACGACUUAGCCUGGCACCCAGCGCCCCUGACUCUUGUGCUGGCGAUUCUGCUUCUUCCAUAUCCUACGAGGGGCUUUUGGACGGUGAGUGCUGUUCAAAGAUGGAGCAGGCUUCUGCUGGGUUUUGUCUUGGUGAGUGGUGAGACCUCCAUCAUUGGCAGUAUGGAAGACAGACUGGAUCACCUCUUGACCUCUUGGAAGGGGAUUUGAAAUUCUGUGGAGUGAUGUGGCUGUUCCCUCAUCCAUCCACCCUGGCCUGCUGAUCUUCAGAUUCUCCCAGGAGACCCUAAAAAUUCAUGGAAGGAAUGACUAUGAAUGAAUGAAAGGCUACAACCUGUACUAGGCUUAUGCUGGUCCCUCCAAAUUAGAUCCAGCCCAGCCUGCUGAGUGCUGCCCGGAGAAGGACUGUCCAAAUCAGUGCAAAAGGCACCUCUCAGCUUCCGUCAGCUUGUUCAUCCAGGAGAGGCUCCAUCUUCGAGGUCAGCUUACCCUCUGGAGAGAGAGGGAUCCCGAAUCAGAGAUGAAGCACCUUACGAGAAUGACGCCUGGAUGGAACACAAUAAGGAGAGGAAAGGGAGAGAGACAGACCUCAUCACUACAAGGUUAUUAGGCUUCAAGACUGCAAAUUUGAGAGAAUUAAGAAAUCUAAUCAGCCUGGUGCACUAAGAGGGAAGCUGCAAACUCCCGGGUGUGGAAGAAAGCCGGAGUAUCCUGAGGGAGAUCCUAAUUAAAGCACCGCCGAUUACAAUUCCUCUGAAAAAGGAAAGUGAAAGGACCAAGAAACAUCUGCUGUGGAUUCAUGAAGGACUGCUCAAGGAUGCAGAGUGUGAGAAAAACUCUUGACAGCGCUGAAGAGGCACAGCGCCUGUUUGUUCUCCAUCGGGCAAAGCUGGUGGAGAUGGGGCCUGGCAAUGCAGAGGCUGUGGUUUAGGAUUGUUUUAGCUGAUGGGGCAUCGUAAAAGGGAAAGGAGACAAGACUCCCUGUGCAGCCCAGAAUGGCCAAAUCAUCCCUGCAGUUCUCGGGUUGCCUGGCAACCCCCUCUCAAGGGUUGGCUCCGGGCCCUUUCCCUGCUAUAUCCCUAAAAAGAAGUUUAGACCUGACUCACGUAAGUGCUCAGAUUUCCUAGAUGUACCCUUGGAAUUGCUGAGCUGGAAGAGAACUCAGAAGUCGUACAACCCAAUCUCCCACAAAUAUAGAAACAGAAAAUGUAAAAGCCCAGAGCCACACCCAUGGAGGUGUAGCUGAAGGCCUAUGCCAUCGCCACAGCAACGCUGGAUCUGAGCUGCAUCUGCAGUCGAUGCCUCAGCUUGUGAAAACAUGGGAUCCUAAACCCACUGGACGAGGGCGAGGAUUGAACCUUCAUCCUCAUGGACACUAGUUGGGUUCUUAAUCUGCUGAGCCACAAUGAGAACUGAAGAGACCCUAUCUCACAACGGAAGCCGAUAAUGAUGAGUGCUCACUUCUUCAAAUUCUCUUGUAUUUAUGGCAAGAGCAAAUGAACCCCUUUAAGGAUUUUCCUCCCUAAUGAAGAGAGAUGCCUCAGUGUCACACAGCUGCCUCUAGGUUUUUGUGGCUUCUCAAAAUUCUUCUGAAGACAGGAUGCGAAACACAUGCUCCAAGGAACCUUCUUCCCACAGAGACCCUUGAUCUGUCUUGGACACAGAGAUGAAGUGUCUGGGGAAUGUAAGCAGGGCACAGAGACGGCAUCUGGACAGUCCCUCCUCCUGGAAGGAGAAAGGCACCUCCAGUUAAUGAGGACAUGGCAGCAAGAUACUGGACACAGCACUAUUUACAAUAGUCAAAACAUGGAAACAACCCAAAUGUCCAUCGACAGGAGUGGAUCAAGAAGACGCGAUACACAUACACAAUGGAAAAUUACUCAGCCAAUUUUUUUCCAUUUCUUCGGCCACGUUUGUGUUUGCCCAUCCACACAUUCAUCCAUUCGGCAGAGAGCAUCCUGCUUAAAGGUCACAGAGAGGCUCGUGAAAAGGCUCACGGUCCAUUUGUGGAACAUGAACAGGUGGGAGCUGAGCUGUGGAAUAAUACAUUUACUGUGCUUUUGCUCCGAAUACACUGGGGAUGCUAAUCCUACAGAGGAGUAACUACAUCACAAUAAGAUGAAUGGAGUAAUGGAGUAAUGGACAUAAUGCAGGUAGCCACAAACAAACAAACAAACAAACAAAACCCAGCUGAAUGACUCAUUUGGCCUGUGGAAAAUGGAGACUCUGGGAUUAAUUCCAAGACAAGGAGACACUUAAGCUGAGACUUGAACGGAAAAAAAAAAA
rnacentral:lncRNA from 1 species